AAAAUUAGUAAAUUAUGUGAUAAAUAUUAGUAAUGAAAUAAGCAGUUUUUAGUUGUUUUUAGAAAGGCAAAAUGGGCCAAAAACGGAAUUAAAUUUAACUAAGUGGUAUUUAUAUUUUGAAGAACAGAGGACAAAGGGGAACCAAUGGGAAUAAUUUAUUUCAACAUUUAGAAAGUCUUGGGAAGCUUCCAGACCAACAUAUUCACCAGCAGAUUAGAAGAAAAUGCUUACUCAUUCAUGAAGAGAAAACUGACUUUGGGAGAGCAAACAAAGAACCUACCUGCCAUGAUGUAAAAAAAAUCUAAGCUACAUGGAGAGUGGCCCAGCUGAGACCAGACAUUUGAGUAAGAAAGUCUCCUGAUUGUUCAGAUGUUUGAGUCUUCCCAUAUGAGGCUCUAAUAAUCGUGUAUUUUUCCUUGGCAAACUAUCCUGGAUCCAUUCAGGGAAAGGAAUUCUGGGGAAAACAUUUCCUGGCUUCGCCUCUAUGUUACAGAGGAAGUGAUGCUGAGUUGACAGUGAGCAAUCAGCACAACGGGCCAGUAAGUGCUGGUAGCAAAUUCAUACAGCUUUGAAGUUUUGUACACCUGCUAUCCCAUUGCCUUCUACAGCCAUUAUAACUUCGCCUAAAGAACAAUGCUCUGACGAAAACUGAUACAUUGACCCUGAGCACCAUUCUAAUAGUUACUAAAUAACAGUUUGAAGAGGGAAAAUUUUACCACUCUUUGAUUUGUAAUUUUUUAAAAAGUAUUAUUUUUAUAUUAAUCCAUCAUUUUAUUAGUCAACUGGCUAGACCCUUGAUCGAUGAAGGUAUAAAUAUCUGAUAUGUAAUGAAAAGAGCCAGUUUUCAAACUUAAAAUCAUUUUUUAGCAAAGCCUUUCUUUGUGUAAUAGUACACCAUAUUGUAUUUUUGAGGAUAUGAUGUCAGGGAGUACAGAGUAUAAAAGGCGAUUUAUUUGUACAAUACUUAUCUUCACCUUAAAGUGCCUUUAAUGGAGAGACGCUACAUUAGCUGUUUCCCAGAUUUCAAUUCAAACAAACAUUUCCUGAGUGACUUCAAGGGAUAAGUCUUUCUGCAAGGUACAGCAUAAUGCAAAGCCCUGUGCCAAUCGCUGUAAAGACCGCAAAAGCCCUGCAAAUGCUGCUUUGAAGACCUCAGACACUGUUUAGAGACUGACCAGCACCCGGGGCCCCAGCUACAGACUUCUGCAUCAGAGGGCGCAGAAUGCCAACCAGGAGCCUCCGUCUGUACCCUGGCUCUAGGUUCAAACAACAGAUAUCAAGAAUGGGCCUGUCACUUAUUAUGAUGAGCCCUGGUGUUGUAUGUAAAUGAUGAACCAGUGAAUUCUACUCCGGAAACCAAUAUUGCACUGUAUGUUAGCUAACUAGAAUUUAAAUAAAAAUUUGAAAAAAAAAUGGGUCUGUUAUUGAUCUAAGGCUCA